UUGGACAGGAAAAUGACCCUAUGAAGCUUUACUGUAGCUUGAAAUUGGAUUUUGGCUUGAUUUGCGCAGAAUAGGUGGGAGGCUAUGAAAAUGACUUUGCGGAGUUAUUAGAGCCAUUAGUGAGAUACCACUCUAAUUAAGUUGAAAUUCUAACUUUGAACCGUUAUCCGGUCAAAGAACAGUUUCAGGUAGGCAGUUUGACUGGGGCGGUCGCCUCCUAAAAAGUAACGGAGGCGUGCAAAGGUUUCUUCAGGCUGGUUGGAAAUCAGUCGUAGAGUGUAAAGGCAAAAAGAAGCUUGACUGCGAGACUUACAAGUCGAGCAGAGACGAAAGUCGGCCUUAAUGAUCCGACAGUACUGAGUGGAAAGGCUGUCGCUCAACGGAUAAAAGUUACUCUAGGGAUAACAAAAG
rnacentral:rRNA from 1 species